AUGGCUUGUGGGCUCAGCUGGCUUCUCCUGGUGGCUGUGAUAGGAGGGGUCCAGUGUGAGGUGCAGCUGGUGGAGUCUGGGGGAGCCUUGGUGAAGCCCGGGGGGUCUCUGACACUCUCCUGUGCAGCCUCUGGAUUCAAUUUUGGCAACUAUUGGAUGUACUGGGUCCGCCAGGCUCCAGGGAAGGGCCUAGAGUGGGUCUCACGCAUUAAGCAUGAUAGUAGUAUUACAUACUAUGCGGACUCUGUGAAGGGCCGAUUCACCAUCUCCAGAGACAACAGCAAGAACACGCUCUCUCUGCAAAUGAACCAACUGAAGGAGGAGGACACGGCCCUUUACUACUGUGCGAGAGACACAGUGAGGGGAAGGCCCUGUGGGCCCUGA